rnacentral:rRNA from 1 species
CGGGUGAGUAAUACAUCGGAACGUGUCUUCUAGUGGGGGAUAACUGCCCGAAAGGGCAGCUAAUACCGCAUGAGACCUGAGGGUGAAAGCGGGGGAUCGCAAGACCUCGCGCUGGAAGAGCGGCCGAUGUCCGAUUAGCUGGUUGGUGAGGUAAAGGCUCACCAAGGCGACGAUCGGUAGCUGGUCUGAGAGGACGACCAGCCACACUGGGACUGAGACACGGCCCAG